UACGGAGGGGGCUAGCGUUGUUCGGAAUUACUGGGCGUAAAGCGCACGUAGGCGGACAUUUAAGUCAGGGGUGAAAUCCCGGGGCUCAACCCCGGAACUGCCUUUAAUACUGGGAAUCUUGAGUUCGGAAGAGGUGAGUGGAACUGCGAGUGUAGAGGUGAAAUUCGUAGAUAUUCGCAAGAACACCAGUGGCGAAGGCGGCUCACUGGUCCGAUACUGACGCUGAGGCACGAAAGCGUGGGGAGCAAACAGG
rnacentral:rRNA from 1 species